rnacentral:rRNA from 1 species
GGCAUAGCAGGGUAGCUAAGUUCGGAAAGGAUAACCGCUGAAAGCAUCUAAGCGGGAAACCCACUUCAAGAUUAGAUAUCCCUCUGACGUAAGUCAGCUGAAGACCCCUCGAAGACUACGAGGUUGAUAGGCCGGAUGUGUAAGCACAGCAAUGUGUUCAGCUUACCGGUACUAAUUGGUCGUGAGGCUUAGCCAC